rnacentral:snoRNA from 1 species
UGGAUGGAUGAUGUUAAACGCCAGCAUUAGAGUCAUCAAUGAUGAAUAAUACGUGUCUGGAACUCUUAAGUCCAA